GCUUCUGUGGUGUAGUGGUAGCACCCGUCUCCGUGGUGGAUGAAACGCGGGUUCCAAUUCCCGCCUGAGGUC